UACGGAGGGGGCUAGCGUUGUUCGGAAUUACUGGGCGUAAAGCGCACGUAGGCGGCUUUGUAAGUUAGAGGUGAAAGCCCGGGGCUCAACUCCGGAAUUGCCUUUAAGACUGCAUCGCUAGAAUUGUGGAGAGGUAAGUGGAAUUCCGAGUGUAGAGGUGAAAUUCGUAGAUAUUCGGAAGAACACCGGUGGCGAAGGCGGCGCUCUGGACCGAGACUGACGCUGAGGCGCGAAAAGCGUGGGGGAGCAAACAGG
rnacentral:rRNA from 1 species